rnacentral:rRNA from 1 species
ACACGCAUGACACACUGCAUAUCAAUAAGCGGAGGAAAAGAAACUAACUAGGAUUCCCUUAGUAACGGCGAGUGAAGCGGGAAGAGCUCAAAUUUGAAAUCUUCAAGGGUUCUACCUUGACGAAUUGUAGUUUAAAGAAGUGUUUUCUGUUAGUAGAGGUGGCUAAAAGUUCUUUGGAAUAGGACAUCAUAGAGGGUGAGAAUCCCGUAUUUGAUCAUUCCUUACUAAGCUUUGUGAUACACUUUCAACGAGUCGGAUUGUUUGGGAAUGCAGUCCAAAAUGGGUGGUAAAUUUCAUCUAAAGCUAAAUAGUUGGCGAGAGACCGAUAGCGAACAAGUACCGUGAGGGAAAGAUGAAAAGAACUUUGAAAAGAGAGUUAAACAGUACGUGAAAUUGUCAGAAGGGAAGCGUUUGACACCAGUGUUGUUUUUCCGAAAAUCAAUUACGAAUGUUUUGUUUUUAAGGAGUUAUGACUUCAUCGGCUUGCUCCUUUCUUUAUGAAACUUUCUUAAUGCACUUUUCGGUUAACAAGUCAACAUCAAUUUCUUUUGUUGUAAAAGGGUAUGAGGAAGGUGGCUUUCUUUUCGGAGAAAGUGUUUAUAGCCUUGUGCCUCUGCAAUCGGAGAGAUUGAGGUCUGCAGCGUAGAUCCUUCGGGGUUAGAUACAUUUGUGCUAAGUUAUAGCUUUUCAUAGACAACUUGUUGACUAUGUUUAGUCUUGUAGCUUACUCGCUUAUGCUAUUUUACCUACGCUUAGGAUGUUGAAGAUGUAGCACAUCAU